ensembl:lncRNA
CUCUUCAGCAAAUGAACCAAUUCAUUCAAAUAAUACAAAUAAUACAGAAGGUAACAGCAGUAAACCAUCAUAUUCUGAAGAAUGCUUGGAAGAAAAGACAGUUGUGUUACUUCCAGACUCUUCAAAAAAACUACUAGUUUCACCACACAAGACAAAUAAAACUACCACAGAUUUGGAAAAAUCUUCACAGGAAACUAGAGUCUGCAGUACUGUAUCUUUGUGUAAAAGAAAUAAAACACCCAGGCCAGCAAGAUGCAGACUCCCAAAACCUAAACCAAAUCUUAACAGUGGCUCGGUAUCUACUAGGAAUGUUUCUCAAAAACCUCUAAAUCUAAGUUCAGAUAUGGAAGAAUAUAAAGAAAUCCAAAAAGUAACAGAUGACAAAAUUUCAGAAAAAUCUAGAGAAGAGCAGAAAGUUGAAAUGAAUCUCCAAAUGGAUGAGCAGCUUGCUAAAAUCAGCACUAUGGAAAAGUAUGAUUUACAUUCUGAAAGUGCUGGCCCCGCCAUGCAGGAAAAUAAUAUGGAAAGGUAUACAACCU